rnacentral:rRNA from 1 species
UACGAAGGGGGCUAGCGUUGCUCGGAAUUACUGGGCGUAAAGGGCGCGUAGGCGGCACUGUUAGUCAGGCGUGAAAGUCCUGGGCUCAACCUGGGAACUGCGCUUGAUACGGCAGAGCUAGAGGAUGGAAGAGGGUCGCGGAAUUCCCAGUGUAGAGGUGAAAUUCGUAGAUAUUCGGAAGAACACCAGUGGCGAAGGCGACACACUGGGCCAUUACUGACGCUGAGGCGCGAAAGCGUGGGGAGCAAACAGG